ACCGACAAGACAAUGAACUAUGCU
rnacentral:piRNA from 1 species